UACGUAGGGUGCGAGCGUUGUCCGGAAUUAUUGGGCGUAAAGGGCUCGUAGGCGGUCUGUCGCGUCGGACGUGAAAACUCAGGGCUUAACCCUGAGCCUGCUUCCGAUACGGGCAGACUAGAGGUAUGCAGGGGAGAACGGAAUUCCUGGUGUAGCGGUGGAAUGCGCAGAUAUCAGGAGGAACACCGGUGGCGAAGGCGGUUCUCUGGGCAUUACCUGACGCUGAGGAGCGAAAGUGUGGGGAGCGAACAGG
rnacentral:rRNA from 1 species